CCUGAUGACCAUAGCGUUUUGGAACCACCUGACCCCAUGCCGAACUCAGAAGUGAAACAAAACAGCGUCGAUG
rnacentral:rRNA from 1 species